CGUCGGUGCCCCGGAACAGGAGACCGAUGAGGGCGCGGCGCCGUGCGCGAGACGUUCCGGGGCCGCUGGCGUUUGCGGCGUGGAGCGGCGGGGAAGGCUUUAGGCGGCGGACCGCCGGGGCCAGCUCCUGGUGGCAGCAGGGUCCCCCAGACAUCGCCCAGCAGUGACACCUUCACCGUCCUCCCUUGGGGAGCUUGGAAAAGGAUCAUUUGCACCUUCUGCUGAGGUGUUGAGUGGGAUUCCACCUGAGUGGGAUGCCUUGGUGCAGGACGGGGAGGAAGGGGACAGGAGCUGCACAGGAGCUGCUGUGACUCUUCUGAGCCCACCCUGAGCAGCUGUGCUCUCCUGGCAUAGCUGCAGAUACAGCUUCAAGGAUGCCACUUUCCAGGGUUUCUUGGUUGACUCAAUUCAGUGUCCCAUUGAUCUUCUGGCACAUGUCCUAUGGCUCCUACACCAAGUUGCACAUGCAGAAACAAGAGCUUGGGCUCCAUCUCCAAGUUUAGACCUCCAACCUCAGCAUCCUGAUCUGGUGCCACCUUUGGAAGGAUGAAUCAGGACAGUUACUCAAGUGAUCAGCCCACGGGCCAGGACCCACUCGUACUGCUGAAAACCCUUCAGCUUCUCUGGACAAAGCAGGAGCUGGGCAAGCUCAAGGAAGAAAUCAGGCGGGGCUUUGCCAGACUGGAGGACCCUUUGGCAGGACUCCUGGCCAUGCUGGAGAGCAGCAGUGAUUGGAAGGGGAAAGGGCAUUCCCUGGGGUAUUGCAUCACCACGGAGCUGCAGCUUUGGAUAAAAGCACAUCCUGCUGUCCCACAGUCUGGCACCAAGCUGAAGAAGCUGCAGGCCCGUGUGCUCGGAAUGCUCUCCCAGUGCCCAGCUAAUCUGCUUGACCCCCUGAUUAGCAUUUACCAGCUCCAAACAGCAGACCGGAACUAUUUGCUUGAACAUGUCAGUCAUCUUUAUCUCCAGGGCAAUUACAAAGAGGCAGCCAUACUGAGUAUUAAGCUGAAAUUACAGCCAGAUCAAGAUGUAGAGAAGAUGUGCACCCCACUACUGCUCCAGGAUAAAGCCAACUUGGUGGAAGAAUAUGUGGCAGAAUAUCCAGAGCUCCAGAGGAAGCUCUUGCAGACCCUGGACACAUGGUGUGAGCCCAGCUUCAAUAUCAGAGACAUCAUAAGACCAUAUCAAGGCCUGUCCAAGUACAAACCCGAAAAAUUUAACUGCAGAGUGCUCAGUAAGCUCAUCUUCAGGCUCCUGGGGAGAUUCAACGUUGAUUCAGCCCUCUGCCCUAACGUCAUAAAUCAGCGGCACUUGAGAACCCUGAAUUACCUCUUUUACAAAAGAUUUGUUGAGAAAACCAUGACUGAGGAGAACUGGGCAGACCACAUUCAGAGCACAGUUGGGGAGAACCGGUGGCUCCAAGGACAUCUGGUGCAGUCGCUGCUCCGUCAUUGCGACGCGCGCGGGGCAGCACAGUGGGCGCAGCACUGCCGGGUGCCCCCCGAGAUGCUGCCUCAGGCUGUGGCUGAGGAGCUUCAGAAGCUGCACAUCCAGGACAGGGUAGAAGAGGUCACAAAAGCAGAUAAUUAUGAGGCCAGUAAGAAGAAGGACUAUUACCAGCUUCCUAUUCCACGGGAAAAUAUUCACUUUCUGCAGACAUGGGAGGAGACACUGCAGUGCUGGGAGAAGGUGCUGCAGGCUGGGCAGGUCAUUGGUGUGGACAUGGAGUGGAAGCCUUCUUUUGGCAUGGUGGGGAAGCCCCGUGUUGCCCUCCUGCAACUUGCACUGAAGGAUGAAGUGUUCCUGUUGGACCUGCCACGGCUCCUCGAGCAAGCCGAGGCUGAGGGGGAAAAGGAGAAGCUUCCCCAUUUCAUCCAGAUGCUCUAUUCAGAUGCAGCCAUCACUAAACUUGGUUAUGGGAUGUCUGGAGACCUCAGCAGCCUUGCAGCCACAUGUUCUGCUCUGAAAGACACAGAGAAGCAAAUGCAAGGUGUGGUGGAUCUUCUUGCAGUGGACAAACAACUGCAGUGGGGGAAGGACAGCCGGAAGGUCGAUGGACUGUCCCCGGAGCACAGCCACGAGGAAAGAGGGGUCAGGCAGCGGGAGAAGGGACUCAGCCUCCUGGUGCAACAUGUGCUGGGGAAGCCUCUGGAUAAAACAGAGCAGCUGUCAAACUGGGAGAAGAGGCCGCUCCGGGAGGAGCAGAUCCUCUAUGCAGCCUCAGAUGCCUACUGCUUGCUGGAGAUCUAUGAGAGGCUCUGCAAGGAUCCUGAGAGCUUCGGUCUAGGUUCAGACCUUACUGAGAGUCUGGUGGGGAAACAGAGCAAAAAACCCAGGGCUAAGAAGCAGCUGAAUAAACAAGAAGCACCAUCACCUUCUGGACAGGAAUUCCAAGGACCCAGAAUGGAACCCUCACACCCUCCUGCCCCUAUCUCCCCCCAGGAGUUCAGUGUGGUCUGUGACAACAUGCUGCAGGGCCUGGGGCGCUACCUGCGCUGCUUGGGCGUGGAUGUCCGGCUGCUGGACAAUGAGGAUGACCACAGGAAAGCUGCUGAGAUUGCCCGACAGGAAGGAAGAGUCAUUUUGACCUCUGGACUCCCAUAUCAGACUCUGUGCUCCCAGGUGGGAGAAGGAAGGUGUUUCUCUGUGAACUGCUCCCAGAAGGCGAAGGAACAGGCGCUGCAGGUGCUGAAGCACUUCAACGUGCAGGUGUCCCUGGGUGACAUCUUCAGCCGCUGCCAGGUCCAGGGCUGUCACCUGCCCUGAGGACCACUCUGUGCAUGGCCCACACUGGACCCACUGGAUGCCUGAAGCUGGGGAGCAGGUCUAGGCAGCUGGGCUGGAAUCAACACACUGGACAAAUGCUCCCAGCUCCUCUCUCACAGCUGCAGCAAGUCUGACAGUGCUCUGCCUGCUCCUUCCUGGAAAACACCGACCCUUUCAGGACCCACGGGGUUCAGUUGGCACUAGGAAGCCUGGGGACAGUGGCCUGAGGGACAACUCCGCUGUGUGCCUCCCCUCUGCAGCAACUCUCCCUCCUCUUUCCUCGUCCGUCCCGGACGCUGGGGACACAUGUAAGGGUAAGGCAGGCUUUGCCCUCACCUCUCCAGCACCAAGGCACCUGUGUCAGAUGAGGAACUAAACCUGCCCCAGGUUUCCCAGGACACUAAAAGUGAACCAAGAACUUUUGAAACCAGCCUAGAAUCACAAUGGGACAGAGCCUGCAUUAUUGUGCCUUUGCUUCCCCGUGAAUUCCAGUCCUCUAACAUACUUAGAUCAAACCUGAUGACCCAAAUCUGACUGCAGCAACUGAGAGGAGAAAUGACCCUCCAAAAAGAGCAGCCCAAAGAGCCCCCGUGUGUGCUCCAGGCCACCCCAGGCCACUGCACCCAUGCACAAAGGAGCAGCCAGGCAGCACCAAAGUGAUUCACCGGCUGUAAUUCAAUUACUUUGCAAAGCAGCAAAGGCCAAGGCACCCCCGCAGGAUGCACAGCAGCAGGACGGCUCCACAGGCUUCGGGAGCUGUCACUGAGAGCCCGUGUGAAACAGCUCCGUUGGCUGGGGCCACGUGUGAGCCGUGCAGAACCCACCUGCCUGUGUGCAGCGGGACCUGCCGAUGGAGCUGGGGCAGCAAGGGUCACCCCACUGCUGGAGUGAGCCAGCAGCCCUUUGGGCCUGGAAGAUUGUGGGAUCAGGGAGGAAGCUGCCUCCAGAGCUGACUGGCGGUGGAGGUGUGCAAUUGCAACAAGUACCUGAAGGUCUCACGGGAGAGGAUGAAGCAGCUGGUGGAGAGCAGCAGACAAGUGUCAGGGGAACACAGUGCAG